GAUGAACGCUGGCGGCGUGCCUAAUACAUGCAAGUCGAGCGAACGGACGAGAAGCUUGCUUCUCUGAUGUUAGCGGCGGACGGGUGAGUAACACGUGGAUAACCUACCUAUAAGACUGGGAUAACUUCGGGAAACCGGAGCUAAUACCGGAUAAUAUUUUGAACCGCAUGGUUCAAAAGUGAAAGACGGCCUUGCUGUCACUUAUAGAUGGAUCCGCGCUGCAUUAGCUAGUUGGUAGGGUAACGGCUUACCAAGGCAACGAUGCAUAGCCGACCUGAGAGGGUGAUCGGCCACACUGGAACUGAGACACGGUCCAGACUCCUACGGGAGGCAGCAGUAGGGAAUCUUCCGCAAUGGGCGAAAGCCUGACGGAGCAACGCCGCGUGAGUGAUGAAGGUCUUCGGAUCGUAAAACUCUGUUAUUAGGGAAGAACAUAUGUGUAAGUAACUGUGCACAUCUUGACGGUACCUAAUCAGAAAGCCACGGCUAACUACGUG
rnacentral:rRNA from 1 species